CACGUAGUUAGCCGGGGCUUCUUCUGCAGGUACCGUCACUUUCGCCUCGUCCCUGCUGAAAGCGGUUUACAACCCGAAGGCCUUCUUCCCGCACGCGGCGUCGCUGCAUCAGGCUUUCGCCCAUUGUGCAAGAUUCCCCACUGCUGCCUCCCGUAGGAGUCUGGGCCGUGUCUCAGUCCCAAUCUGGCUGGUCGGUCUCUCAACCCAGCUACCCAUCAUUGCCUUGGUAGGCCUCUACCCCACCAACAAGCUAACAGGCCGCGGGCCCAUCCUUCUCCGCAAAAGCUUUCUCAAUGUCGUCAUGCGGCCACAUUGAAGUAUCGGGUAUUAUCCUCGGUUUCCCGAGGCUAUCCCCAAGAGGAGGGCAGGUUGCCCACGUGUUACUCAGCCGUUCGCCACUUUAUACACACCUAAAAGGUGCUUUAACCGUUCGACUUGCAUGUGUUAGGCGCGCCGCCAGCGUUCAUCCUGAGCCAGGAUCAAACUCU
rnacentral:rRNA from 1 species